rnacentral:lncRNA from 1 species
AAGUAGAAGGCCCAGUUAUUGGUAGACCGGAUGGGGGGAGAGGCCAUACAGCGCCUGUAUGUGCCCCCACAGCCAUGUUAGGGACAGGAGGAGAACCUCGCCCUAGCAUGAGCAAAGUCGAAGGUUCGGUUAUUUGUAGACCGGAUGGGGGAGAGGCCCUGCAACAUCCGUAUAUGCCCCCACAGCCCUGUUAGGGACAGGAGGAGAACCUCGCCCAAACUUGAGCAAAGUCGAAGGCCCGGUUACCC